CACUGUUUUGGCACUGCAGAUGAAACACAAAAAUCCUGGUCCUAAUGAAGACGGGAGAUGUUCUAUUGAAGAAAGAAACAAACAGAUCAGCAGGAUAUAUAGUGUGCCAGACAGUUUGAGUGCUAGAGAGAAUACCAGAACAUUGAAGCAUCCAAGAAAUGAAAAGACCAUGAUCAGGGCACCUAGAUGGCUCAUUUGGAUGGCUGGUGACCAGAUGACAAGAAUCUAAUGUUUUGCUUGUGGAUAUUCUUGAACCUUGUCCCUGCUCCUGGCUCCUUUACCAGUGGGAAGUUUGGGAAGCAGAAAAGGGAAGAGAAAUGCAGACCAGUUUGCACUGGGGCAUCUGUGGUCAUCUUGUGGAAGAGGAGAUUAGGACACACAGAGACACCCAGGAUGCUCACACAUGAGGAAAGACCAUAAGAGCACACAGGGAGAAGGCAGCCAUCUGCCAGCCAAGAAGAGAGGCCUCAGGAGAAACCAACCCUGCCAAC